CUUCAGGAUUCUCAGUCUUCCCUCCGGGAGACUUUUGGCCAGUCUUGUCUCGCUCCAACCUCCUACCCCCACCCCAUUCCUCAGUGCAUUCGUGAAUUUCUCCAAGCAGGCCUUUCCAGAUCGACACUAAGUUCCAAUCCCGAGCUGUGUGACCCAGCACCAAUUCAGUCACGAUGAUGACUUGCAAUUGCUUAAUCAGUUUGCCUUUCCUCCUAGCUGUGAAGUUUACCGUGCAGGAUUGCAAACACCAGAGAGAAAAUCAGUCUCUGGAAUGAUGCCUUUGAUGGACCAAGAUGCAGCUGAUGAAGCAUUGAACCAAUUAGCACCUAGCAGGAGGGCACCCUUGCUCUGUGUCCUUGAAGGUUAAAGCUGUCAAAAAGUGGUCUCCCUCAAGUUCGGCCAUCUUGCUCUCAGAGAUCUAGAACUGCUAGGAGAAUAUAGCCUUGAUAGUGGAGAGGAAACUAUUGCUGUUAUGAGGGACUGAGAGAACCAGGCAGAGAGCCCAGAUUGACACAGCAGGUGACAAAAGAGGCGCGCCUACCUUGGGGAAUACGGAGGAACAGAGGAAAGUGAGACCAGGAGAAAGAGCAGGGGGGCGGGUGUGCAGGCCGGCUGCCGUGGCUCACGCCUGUAAUCCCAGCACUUUGGGAGGCCAAGGCAGGCGGAUCACAAGGUCAGGAGUUCGAGACCAGCCUGGCCAAUAUGGUGAAACCCUGUCUCUACUAAAAAUACAAAAAUUAGCUGGGCGUGGUGGCGGAUGCCUGUAGUCCCAGCUACUCGGAAGGCUGAGGCAGGAGAAUCGCUUGAACCUGGAACCCGGGAGGCAGAGGUUGCAGUGAGCCGAGAUGGCGCCAUUGCACUCUAGCCUGGGCGACGGACUGAGACUUCGUCUCAAAAAAGGGAGUGACUGUGUUGCUUUUGCUUUCUUGGAAAUCUUUUUUCUUAGUAAUUUUCCUAAAGUAAUUUCCUUAGGAAAUAAUGUAUUGCUAAGAGUAUUGCAACUUUUAGUAUUGACGAGGUACUUUUACUGAA
rnacentral:antisense_RNA from 1 species